rnacentral:lncRNA from 1 species
GUUACAGAAGUAAAACAGCUUUGCUUUACCGUGUCCUUCAUCCCAUCAUGUUUAUGUUCUACUAUGACCUCAGCUCACGAAAGCCAGCUAGUUGUCGACUUGAUCAUCUGUAAUGUUUGUCCUUUAUACCAGAGAUUGUGUCUGUAUUAGUGGGUGUUGUAUUACUGUGAGGAGAUACCAUAACCAAAGCAACUGUAAUAAAGGAAAGUCUGCACUGAAACCACAGCAGGAAUUACAAUGACCAUGGUCUAUGAAUGGGCCACAGGGGAUAGAGCCAAUGAGUUCAUUUUAAACAAGAGUCUCCAAGAAGGCUUCUUGACAAGGAUGGCAUCCCUUUAAUUAAGAGCAUCUUCUUGGACGUGUUGAGGUGUGAAAAAGAGAGCCACCAUCACAGUUUGGAAAUCAUAGUAGCUCUUAGCAGAGUGGUGACCUUGGGCAUGAAAAGAACAGCAAACACUGCAUGUGUCUUCAUCCUUCAUCACAACUAAAGUACCCUGUGUCCUGAGCAGCCUUCUGGGGAGGCCUGGUGAUGGCACCUCUUUGAGCAAUUCCCAUCUCCAGGGGACCACUACUAUGAUAGCACAGAUUGGUGAUCAUUACCUAGACUUCUGUGCAUGAAGCAAAGAGUAAUGACUACAGAUGAUCAAGUACUGAUUGAUGUUGGUUGUAAGUGACCCAGAAGACAAAGAAGUUCACCAAGAUGAUAAGCCUUUAUUUUCUGAAGGAGCAGAAGGAUAUAUCCUCUUGAGGAAGACAGAUCCCCAGCUGGCUCACUCUAGGAGGGAGAUGAAGAAAAGUCAGGAGCAAGAGAAGUCAAUAGUGUGAAUAUAAAAAAGGAGACUAUGGACACACAUGAAAAUGCCAUAGUGAGAUU